AGGGUUCGAUUCUGGCUCAGGACGAACGCUGGCGGCGUGCUUAACACAUGCAAGUCGAACGGGAGUAUUGAAGAAGCUUGCUUUAGAGAUACUUUAGUGGCGGACGGGUGAGUAACGCGUGAGGAGCUGUCCUAUGCAGGGGGACAACAGCUGGAAACGGCUGCUAAUACCCCAUAAGCCGAGAGGUAAAAGGAUCAAUCCGGCAGAGGAGGUACUCGCGUCCUAUCAGCUAGUAGGUGAGGUAACGGCUCACCUAGGCGAAGACGGGUAGCCGGCCUGAGAGGGCGAACGGCCACACUGGAACUGAGAUACGGUCCAGACUCCUACGGGAGGCAGCAGUGGGGAAUAUUGGGCAAUGGGGGGAAAAACCCCCUGACCCAGCGACGCCGCGUGGGUGAAGAAAUCCUUCGGGAUGCGAAGCCCUGUUGUAUGGGAAGAGCGGAAGACGGUACCAUACGAGGAAGCCCCGGCAAACUACGUGCCAGCCGCCGC
rnacentral:rRNA from 1 species